rnacentral:rRNA from 1 species
UACGUAGGGUGCAAGCGUUGUCCGGAAUUAUUGGGCGUAAAGAGCUCGUAGGCGGUUUGUCGCGUCUGCCGUGAAAGUCCGGGGCUCAACUCCGGAUCUGCGGUGGGUACGGGCAGACUAGAGUGAUGUAGGGGAGACUGGAAUUCCUGGUGUAGCGGUGAAAUGCGCAGAUAUCAGGAGGAACACCGAUGGCGUAAGCAGCCAACUGGACGAUUACUGACGCUGAGAUACGAAAGUAUGGGGAGCAAACAGG